AUGUGAGGACGACCUCAACGCUCUAUUUUUUCAGGGGACGACCCC
rnacentral:ncRNA from 1 species